CGGUUCACCCCUGAAGUAACAAGGCCAGCAUGGUUUUCAGACUACAAUAUUGGACUCCUUAAUAUCUGCCUCCCCACCUCCACCAUUCAGUCAGUUAAGAAAAUUGUGACCUGGUAAAAAUGUGACUAGUCUAACAUCAAACUCGUUGCAAAAUAUAGGUUGCUCUCUGAAAACAGUUAUUUUCCCUACCUUUCGUUUCUGUCUGGGAAGCUGUAUUUGAGAAGCCUCACAUCACGCAUCACAGAAUCUCAUCACCUGAACAGCCGAGAGUCUUACUGAGAUUGAAGAUCCUUUCCUGUGUACCUCUGAUGGUGAGGCUGGAAUGAACAAGGAGGUGGCUGGAACAGGAACGUGAAGUCCCUUUGAUGAUCUAGAAGAGAAGCCGGGGCCUCCAGGGCACAACCUGCCAGUCACUCCCUCUCUCUGUGUAUAGACAGGAGCUGUGAGCUGCGCCUUUCCCC